rnacentral:rRNA from 1 species
ACGCUCGACACCUACGGGAGCAGCAGUGGGGAAUAUUGCACAAUGGGGGAAACCCUGAUGCAGCGACGCCGCGUGAGCGAAGAAGUAUUUCGGUAUGUAAAGCUCUAUCAGCAGGGAAGAAACUGACGGUACCUGACUAAGAAGCACCGGCUAAAUACGUGCCAACAGCCGCGGUAAUCUGAGCGGCUGGCAAGGC